GGUACAAAGGGCGGGAUCGAACUCGCGAGCAUGAAAUUCACAGGCUAAUGCUCUACCACCUGAGCUAUUGAUAC